CCCUUAGAUGUCCUGGGCCGCACGCGUGCUACACUGACGCCUACAGCGAGUACUUCCCAGCCCCGAGAGGUGGCUGGUAAUCAGCAAUAGGCGUCGUGAUGGGGAUAGAUCUUUGGAAUUAUGGAUCUUGAACGAGGAAUGCCUAGUAAGCGCAGGUUAUUAGCCUGCGCUGAUUAAGUCCCUGCCCUUUGUACACACCGCCCGUCGCUCCUACCGAUUUCGAGUGGUCCGGUGAAUCUUUCGGACUGCGCGCGGCCUCGUGCCGUGUCGCGGAAAGUCAGGUAAACCUUAUCACUUAGAGGAAGGAGAAGUCGUAACA
rnacentral:rRNA from 1 species